AGAUAAUCCCGGGCAACCGGGGAAAAACACACGGCAGCUGGUGCCGCGUUGUUCCUCUACCUUAGCAGCAAUGCGGGUGGCAGGCAGAUGUCACCAGCUCCUCUGGACGGUGUCACGACCGUCUAGCAGCGUGAAGUGGAGCUGCGCGGCAAGGUGCGAUUAGAAACCGCAUCCGAGCCGAGUUAGGCCUGCAGGGAGUUUCGACCUGCCCGCCUACACAGUAACCCAGAGGGUUUCGGUUGCUACUGUGCUAACCAGCACGCAAUCAUGGCAUUUGGCGGGACAACCCCGCCAUAAGGUUCUGGGUCCAAAACACCUAGGGCGUACAAAGAUGACGUGGUUGCGGGGAGUGAGCGCGCCUGGCAAAGCGCGUAAACCUCCUUCUUGGGGCGGUUCUGUAAAACGGGAUCACCCAACUGCGAUACCAAAGCAACCUGAGAGUUAAGAGGUCAGACCCGUAGCACGCGGUAAACGUCCGGUCAAAAGCCGGAGCCGCCCGUGUGAAAAGGGUGCCGACGCGACAGAUCGAAAGAUCGCAGGCGUGUCAGUACCUCGUUCAGCGCGCUCGCUGCCGGCAGGCAGUAGCCGAACUGGGCGAAAAGACCUCACUCGACAGAUCGCGAUCGGAAACGGUCACGACGGUCCCGCCAUGAGACCGAUACCGCUGCCUUCCGCAGCGAGUGGCGUCGGGGAACAUACGGCCCGCGAAAGCGAGUGCGCCCAAUGUAUGUGCCGGGGAAGAGCGAGUGGCGAACGAG
rnacentral:ncRNA from 1 species